UAUACCGUGAAUUGUGCUAAUGGGGUAGAAUCCGAAGCCUUUUGAAGAUCACACAGGCUCUCCUACUUAACUCCUAUUCCGUAACGUCCUCGUCGUGCAGAGUGGUAACUUGUACCAAGCUUGGGUUCACUCCUUGGGGUAAGGAGGUGCAGGAAUGA
rnacentral:ribozyme from 1 species